CUUGACAUCCAGCGAACUUUCCAGAGAUGGAUUGGUGCCUUCGGGAACGCUGAGACAGGUGCUGCAUGGCUGUCGUCAGCUCGUGUUGUGAAAUGUUGGGUUAAGUCCCGNAACGAGCGCAACCCUUAUCCUUUGUUGCCAGCGAUUCGGUCGGGAACUCAAAGGAGACUGCCGGUGAUAAACCGGAGGAAGGUGGGGAUGACGUCAAGUCAUCAUGGCCCUUACGAGUAGGGCUACACACGUGCUACAAUGGCGCAUACAAAGAGAAGCGACCUCGCGAGAGCAAGCGGACCUCAUAAAGUGCGUCGUAGUCCGGAUCGGAGUCUGCAACUCGACUCCGUGAAGUCGGAAUCGCUAGUAAUCGUGGAUCAGAAUGCCACGGUGAAUACGUUCCCGGGCCUUGUACACACCGCCCGUCACACCAUGGGAGUGGGUUGCAAAAGAAGUAGGUAGCUUAACCCUCGGGAGGGCGCUUACCACUUUGUGAUUCAUGACUGGGGUGAAGUCGUAACAAGGUAAGCGUAGCGAG
rnacentral:rRNA from 1 species